UACGUAGGAGGCGAGCGUUGUCCGGAGUUACUGGGCGUAAAGGGUGCGUAGGUGGUUUUUUAAGUCCGUUGUGAAAUCCCUGGGCUCAACCUGGGAAUGGCAGUGGAUACUGGAAAGCUAGAGUGCGGUAGAGGGUAGUGGAAUUCCCGGUGUAGCAGUGAAAUGCGUAGAGAUCGGGAGGAACACCAGUGGCGAAGGCGGCUACCUGGACCAGCACUGACACUGAGGCACGAAAGCGUGGGGAGCAAACAGG
rnacentral:rRNA from 1 species